rnacentral:tRNA from 1 species
GGGUAUAGCUCAGUAGCAGAGCACAUGCUUGGCAUGCAUGAAGUCCUGGGUUCAAUCCUCAGUACACCA